rnacentral:misc_RNA from 1 species
AGGUAUAACAGUGCUCCUCCUGUGCUUGCCCUAACCAAGGAUUUUCAGUCUGGGGUUAAAUCAAAGUCACCAUCUCCUCAAGCUUCUUCAGAAGCUAUAGCUUCUGCUGAAGCAGGUCGUGUUUCAGAGAAAGACUCUUCAUGUUCUGCAUCGGGUAUGUCAAUUGUGGAGGCAUCUGUUGCUACAAUAUCUGCCCCAGAAUCAGUUGAAAGCCAGGCCCUGAAGCUUCAUCCAUCUCCUCCAAGUCCGCUUCUUUCUCCAUCUCCAAUUACUUCAUCUCACGAACCUUCUGAUACUGAGGUAGCAGGAACUAAUUCACCAUCAGCGACUUCAGCUUUGUCUUCACAGGGGAGUAAUAUUACGACAUCUUCUUUGACUCAGCCGGACCCUUAUUCUUCAUCUGCUCUGCCCGAACCUCCCUCAUUUUCACCCCCUCCACCUCCUCCACCCCCUCCACCUCCACCAUUUACUAGCUCGAGGAUGACUCCGCUAGGUGCCUUUUCUCCUCCCCCACCACCACUGCCUCCUCCACCUUUGCCCUCAUCAUCCAGUGUAAUAAAUGCUGGUAGGGUCUUGCCACCACCCCCUCCACCACCCCUUUGGACA